ACAAAAUUAAUCUCUGAAAAUCGUAUUGCUCUCUCUCAACCUUCGUCUCUCUUCAUCUCGCGCCCCUCUUUUUCAAUUGUAGGACUCAACAUAUGGUAGAUGUAAUCAAUUGUUGAAGGAUGCAGAAUAAAAAAUCUGGUCAUGGAAUUUAACAUUAGUGAAUUGAAGUGGUGUUUAUGUUGUUCUUUUUCAUACAAAAUAGAUUUGUGGAGUAGAGUGUAUUGUUUGGUAUUGUACGAUUGUGUGUGUCUGCGUGACUAACUAAAAUUGGGAAGCCGUUCUCAAAUUAAAUUUUCAAAUAAUCAUUUCAAAGUUCUU
rnacentral:lncRNA from 1 species